rnacentral:rRNA from 1 species
GAUGAACGCUGGCGGCGUGCUUAACACAUGCAAGUCGAACGAAGCACCUCUCCCGAAGAUUGACACAGCUUGCUGUAGAUUGAUUCAUUUGAGGUGACUGAGUGGCGGACGGGUGAGUAACGCGUGGGUAACCUGCCUCAUAGAGGGGGACAACAGUUGGAAACGACUGCUAAUACCGCAUAGUAAGAAGAAUUCGCAUGUUUUCUUCUUGAAAGAUUUAUCGCUAUGAGAUGGACCCGCGUCUGAUUAGCUAGUUGGUAAGGUAACGGCUUACCAAGGCGACGAUCAGUAGCCGGCUUGAGAGAGUGAACGGCCACAUUGGGACUGAGACACGGCCCAAACUCCUACGGGAGGCAGCAGUAGGGAAUAUUGCACAAUGGGGGAAACCCUGAUGCAGCGACGCCGCGUGAGUGAAGAAGUAUUUCGGUAUGUAAAGCUCUAUCAGCAGGGAAGAUAAUGACGGUACCUGACUAAGAAGCCCCGGCUAACUACGUG